rnacentral:rRNA from 1 species
UACGUAGGGCGCGAGCGUUGUCCGGAAUCAUUGGGCGUAAAGAGCUCGUAGGCGGCCUGUCGCGUCUGCUGUGAAAUCCCGGGGCUCAACCCCGGGCGUGCAGUGGAUACGGGCUGGCUGGAGGCAGGCAGGGGAGAACGGAAUUCCCGGUGUAGCGGUGAAAUGCGCAGAUAUCGGGAGGAACACCGGUGGCGAAGGCGGAUCUCUGGGCCAUUACUGACGCUGAGGAGCGAAAGCGUGGGGAGCGAACAGG